rnacentral:rRNA from 1 species
UCGGCUUAGAGUUUGAUCAUGGCUCAGGAUGAACGCUGGCGGCGUGCCUAAUACAUGCAAGUCGAACGAAACUUCUUUAUCACCGAGUGCUUGCACUCACCGAUAAAGAGUUGAGUGGCGAACGGGUGAGUAACACGUGGGCAACCUGCCCAAAAGAGGGGGAUAACACUUGGAAACAGGUGCUAAUACCGCAUAACCAUAGUUACCGCAUGGUAACUAUGUAAAAGGUGGCUAUGCUACCGCUUUUGGAUGGGCCCGCGGCGCAUUAGCUAGUUGGUGAGGUAAAGGCUUACCAAGGCAAUGAUGCGUAGCCGAACUGAGAGGUUGAUCGGCCACAUUGGGACUGAGACACGGCCCAAACUCCUACGGGAGGCAGCAGUAGGGAAUCUUCCACAAUGGGCGAAAGCCUGAUGGAGCAACGCCGCGUGGGUGAAGAAGGUCUUCGGAUCGUAAAACCCUGUUGUUAGAGAAGAAAGUGCGUGAGAGUAACUGUUCACGUUUCGACGGUAUCUAACCAGAAAGCCACGGCUAACUACGUGCCAGCAGCCGCGGUAAUACGUAGGUGGCAAGCGUUAUCCGGAUUUAUUGGGCGUAAAGGGAACGCAGGCGGUCUUUUAAGUCUGAUGUGAAAGCCUUCGGCUUAACCGGAGUAGUGCAUUGGAAACUGGGAGACUUGAGUGCAGAAGAGGAGAGUGGAACUCCAUGUGUAGCGGUGAAAUGCGUAGAUAUAUGGAAGAACACCAGUGGCGAAAGCGGCUCUCUGGUCUGUAACUGACGCUGAGGUUCGAAAGCGUGGGGAGCAAACAGGA